rnacentral:rRNA from 1 species
GGGCCCGCACAAGCGGUGGAGCAUGUGGUUUAAUUCGAUGAUACGCGAGGAACCUUACCAGGGCUUAAAUGGGAGAUGACAGGGGCAGAGACGCCCUUUUCUUCGGACAUCUUUCAAGGUGCUGCAUGGUUGUCGUCAGCUCGUGCCGUGAGGUGUCAGGUUAAGUCCUAUAACGAGCGCAACCCCUACCGUUAGUUGCCAGCGAUUCAAGUCGGGGACUCUAACGGGACUGCCGGUGCAAACCGUGAGGAAGGUGGGGACGACGUCAAAUCAUCACGGCCCUUACGUCCUGGGCUACACACGUGCUACAAUGGUCGAGACAAAGAGUCGCAAGUUUGCAAAGACAAGCUAAAUCUCAUAAACUCGGUCUCAGUUCGGAUUGUAGGCUGCAACUCGCCUACAUG